rnacentral:rRNA from 1 species
GAUGAACGCUGGCGGCGUGCCUAAUACAUGCAAGUCGAGCGAACGGACGAGAAGCUUGCUUCUCUGAUGUUAGCGGCGGACGGGUGAGUAACACGUGGAUAACCUACCUAUAAGACUGGGAUAACUUCGGGAAACCGUAGCUAAUACCGGAUAAUAUUUUGAACCGCAUGGUUCAAAAGUGAAAGACGGUCUUGCUGUCACUUAUAGAUGGAUCCGCGCUGCAUUAGCUAGUUGGUAAGGUAACGGCUUACCAAGGCAACGAUGCAUAGCCGACCUGAGAGGGUGAUCGGCCACACUGGAACUGAGACACGGUCCAGACUCCUACGGGAGGCAGCAGUAGGGAAUCUUCCGCAAUGGGCGAAAGCCUGACGGAGCAACGCCGCGUGAGUGAUGAAGGUCUUCGGAUCGUAAAACUCUGUUAUUAGGGAAGAACAUAUGUGUAAGUAACUGUGCACAUCUUGACGGUACCUAAUCAGAAAGCCACGGCUAACUACGUGCCAGCAGCCGCGGUAAUACGUAGGUGGCAAGCGUUAUCCCGAAUAAUUGGGCGUAAAGCGCGCGUAGGCGGUUUUUUAGUCUGAUGUGAAAGCCCACGGCUCAACCGUGGAGGGUCAUUGGAAACUGGAAAACUUGAGUGCAGAAGAGGAAAGUGGAAUUCCAUGUGUAGCGGUGAAAUGCGCAGAGAUAUGGAGGAACACCAGUGGCGAAGGCGACUUUCUGGUCUGUAACUGACGCUGAUGUGCGAAAGCGUGGGGAUCAAACAGGAUUAGAUACCCUGGUAGUCCACGCCGUAAACGAUGAGUGCUAAGUGUUAGGGGGUUUCCGCCCCUUAGUGCUGCAGCUAACGCAUUAAGCACUCCGCCUGGGGAGUACGACCGCAAGGUUGAAACUCAAAGGAAUUGACGGGGACCCGCACAAGCGGUGGAGCAUGUGGUUUAAUUCGAAGCAACGCGAAGAACCUUACCAAAUCUUGACAUCCUUUGACAACUCUAGAGAUAGAGCCUUCCCCUUCGGGGGACAAAGUGACAGGUGGUGCAUGGUUGUCGUCAGCUCGUGUCGUGAGAUGUUGGGUUAAGUCCCGCAACGAGCGCAACCCUUAAGCUUAGUUGCCAUCAUUAAGUUGGGCACUCUAAGUUGACUGCCGGUGACAAACCGGAGGAAGGUGGGGAUGACGUCAAAUCAUCAUGCCCCUUAUGAUUUGGGCUACACACGUGCUACAAUGGACAAUACAAAGGGCAGCGAAACCGCGAGGUCAAGCAAAUCCCAUAAAGUUGUUCUCAGUUCGGAUUGUAGUCUGCAACUCGACUACAUGAAGCUGGAAUCGCUAGUAAUCGUAGAUCAGCAUGCUACGGUGAAUACGUUCCCGGGUCU